ACGCUGGCGGCAUGCCUAACACAUGCAAGUCGAACGAGAAAGUUCCUUCGGGAGCAAUUAAAGUGGCGCACGGGUGAGUAACGCGUAGACAAUCUGCCCUUCAGUCUGGGACAACUUUUCGAAAGGAGAGCUAAUACCGGAUAACAAUGCAUGACACAAGUUGUAUAUUUGAAAGCUUUAUGUGCUGAAGGAGGGGUCUGCGUCCCAUUAGCUAGUUGGUAAGGUAAAGGCUUACCAAGGCAACGAUGGGUAGCGGGUUUGAGAGGACGAUCCGCCACACUGGAACUGAGACACGGUCCAGACUCCUACGGGAGGCAGCAGUGGGGAAUAUUGCACAAUGGAGGCAACUCUGAUGCAGCAAUGUCGCGUGAGUGAAGAAGGCCCUUGGGUCGUAAAGCUCUUUUAUGGGGGAAGAUGAUGACGGUACCCCAAGAAUAAGCACCGGCUAACUAUGUGCCAGCAGCCGCGGUAAUACAUAGGGUGCGAGCGUUGUUCGGAAUUACUGGGCGUAAAGGGCGCGCAGGCGGAAUAGUAAGUCGGAGGUGAAAGCCCGGGGCUCAACCCCGGAGGGUCUUUCGAAACUGCUAAUCUAGAGAGGGUCAGGGGCCGGCAGAAUUCCUGGUGUAGAGGUGAAAUUCGUAGAUAUCAGGAGGAAUACCGGUGGCGAAGGCGGCCGGCUGGGGCCACUCUGACGCUGAGGCGCGAAAGCGUGGGGAGCAAACAGGAUUAGAUACCCUGGUAGUCCACGCCGUAAACGAUGAGCACUGGACGUCCGGAGGGUUCGACCCUUCUGGGUGUCUCAGCUAACGCAUUAAGUGCUCCGCCUGGGGAGUACGGUCGCAGAACUAAACUAAAAUGGAUGCG
rnacentral:rRNA from 1 species